GCAAUCUCAGCCAAACUGCGCUUGCAUCGAUUCACAAUCUUUGAGGACAGAGUAGUCAUGCAAGUUUGAAUUAAGGGCUCUAGAUUUGUCACUCCAAAAUCAAACUUGUGUGCUAUAAGCUCCAAAUUUUCAACAGCUAUUCUAGAAGCCAUCUCAUAGCCCUCUGCUACUCGAAUGGGAUGAAUUCCACGUUCCAACAGCUUCUCAGCCUGCUCCAAAAGUGCUCCAGCCAUAACAACAACACCAGUUGUGCCAUCGCCAAUCUCAUAAUCCUGACUACGAGAAAGCUCAACCAUAAGCUUGGCAAUCUGAUUGUCCACAUCCAUCUGCUCCAAGAUUGUAGCACCAUCAUUUGUGAUGGUGAUGUCGCCGUCGGGACUCUGAAGCAUCUUGUCCAUGCCCUUGGGGCCGAGAGAGGUUCGGAGGAUGCGAGCAACGGCUCUUCCGGCGGAAAUGUUAGCUUUCUGAGCAUCUAAACCUCGCAAUCGAGUCUUCUGCUCCUGCUCUUUUAAGAUAAUGAAAGGCCUUCCAAACUCGUCGAAGGCUAACGCCAUUUCUCUUCGAUUGAGCUCUUACCUUCACUGAUUUUCUCUACUUGGCUCUGCAACUAAGAAACCAGAGAAAUCGAAAUGGAGGAAGAAUGUAGAAGCUCUUC
rnacentral:misc_RNA from 1 species